rnacentral:rRNA from 1 species
AGUGAACGCUGGCGGUAGGCCUAACACAUGCAAGUCGAACGGCAGCACAGUAAGAGCUUGCUCUUACGGGUGGCGAGUGGCGGACGGGUGAGGAAUACAUCGGAAUCUACUUUUUCGUGGGGGAUAACGUAGGGAAACUUACGCUAAUACCGCAUACGACCUACGGGUGAAAGCAGGGGAUCUUCGGACCUUGCGCGAUUGAAUGAGCCGAUGUCGGAUUAGCUAGUUGGCGGGGUAAAGGCCCACCAAGGCGACGAUCCGUAGCUGGUCUGAGAGGAUGAUCAGCCACACUGGAACUGAGACACGGUCCAGACUCCUACGAGAGGCAGCAGUGGGGAAUAUUGGACAAUGGGCGCAAGCCUGAUCCAGCCAUACCGCGUGGGUGAAGAAGGCCUUCGGGUUGUAAAGCCCUUUUGUUGGGAAAGAAAAGCAGCAGGUUAAUACCCCGCUGUUCUGACGGUACCCAAAGAAUAAGCACCGGCUAACUUCGU